rnacentral:snRNA from 1 species
UUUUACUUAUCGUGAUAUUGAAU